rnacentral:ncRNA from 1 species
GAAAAGUUUUAUUCUGGCUUUUAUACUUUUUAUAAGAUUAUUUUACAUGUAAAUUUUAGUGAGAAUUGGAUGAAUCUUAAAGGUUAAUUUAUUUAAUAAGCGCAGUAUUUUAUAUUAAGUAAUCAAUGUUAAUUGGAUUUAGUAAAUUUUUUAAUUCUGGUAAAAUUUGUGCCAGCCACCGCGGUUAAACAAAAGGGGUGAAAAAGUAUUAUUAGUUGUAGUUAAUUUUUAUGGGUUAAAAGUUGGUAAAAUAAUAUUAUUGUUAGGUGAAAUUUUAAAGUAUGUUAUAAACUUAAAAGAAUAAUAUAUGAAGCUAAGAAAAUUAGAAAAUAAACUAGGAUUAGAUACCCUAUUAUUCUAAAUGUUAAUAUAAAGACUUGAGUAGUAGUAGUUAUUUUCUUAAAACUCAAAGAAUUUGGCGGUGUUUUAGUCUUAUCAGAGGAAUUUGUCCCGUAAUCGAUAACCCUCGUUUUACUUUACUUAAUUUGGUCAACAGCUUGUAUACCGCCGUCAUCAGGAUAUAUUUAGAGAUUAUAUUCAAGGUUUAUUAUUAUUAAGUAUGUCAGGUCAAGGUGCAGUUUAUGAUUAAGAGGAGAUGAAUUACAAUAUAUAUUUAUAUACGGAUUUGGAAAUGGAAUUUUCUAAUAAAGGUGGAUUUGGAUGUAAUAAAAUAAAGAUAGAUUUUAUGAUAUAAAGCUCUAAAACAUGCACACAUCGCCCGUCGCUCUCAUUUUAAGGUGAGAUAAGUCGUAACAUAGUAGGUGUACCGGAAGGUGUAUCUAGGAAGUA